rnacentral:rRNA from 1 species
CCUACGGGAGGCAGCAGUGAGGAAUAUUGGUCAAUGGGCUUACGCCUGAACCAGCCAAGUCGCGUGAGGGAAGACUGCCCUAUGGGUUGUAAACCUCUUUUGUCAGGGAGCAACGCCGGCUACGUGUAGCCGGACUGAGAGUACCUGAAGAAAAAGCAUCGGCUAACUCCGUGCCAGCAGCCGCGGUAAUACGGAGGAUGCGAGCGUUAUCCGGAUUGAUUGGGUUUAAUGGGUGCGUAGGCGGAAUGCCAAGUCAGCGGGAAAAGCGCGGGGCUCAACCUCGCUCCGCCGUUGAAACUGGCGUUCUUGAGUGGGCGAGAAGUAUGCGGAAUGCGUGGUGUAGCGGUGAAAUGCAUAGAUAUCGAGAAGAACACCGAUGGCGAAGGCAGCAUACCGGCGCCCAACUGACGCUGAAGCACGAAAGCGUGGGUAUCGAACAGGAUUAGAUACCCGAGUAGUC